rnacentral:sRNA from 1 species
GCUGGGUGUGGUGGUGCACACCUGCAAUCCCAGCGCCUUGGGAGGCUGAGGCUGGACGAUCCUGAAUUCAAAGCCAACCUCAGCAAAAGCAAGGCACUAAGCAACUCAGUGAGACCCUGUCUCUA